rnacentral:lncRNA from 1 species
UAUAAAAAGAACACACUCUUAAAGACAAAUGAUAUUUUUAAAGUGCCAGAGGUGCCCAAGAAGCCCAUCCCAGAGGAAAAGAAACCAACACCUGUUCCAAAAAAAGCAGAAGCUCCACCACCCAAAGGUACAUUAAUCUCUAACAGCACCAGGCCCAAAAGGAAAACUAACUGGUAUUAGUCAGCCUUGCUAAUCACAACUGAUACUUCAUGACAUUGAAUUUGAUGACGAUUGAUGCCUCUGUGAUCACAGAAUAGCUGCUUUUCAUGUUGUCCCAUUGUUAUGAAUAGUGUACUUAACAGUGACACUUGAACAAUUGAAUAAAUAUCUUUAAAGUGCCGAAGAAACUCGAGCCAGUUCCAGUUCCUGUAGCUCUACUUCGGGAAGAAGAAGUUCCAUUUGAAGAAGAAAUUGCUCCUGAAGAGGAAGUUCCACCUGAGGAGGAGGAAGUUCUACCUGAGGAGGAGGAAGUUCCACCUGAGGAGGAGGAAGUUCCACCUGAGGAGGAAGAAGUUCCACCUGAGGAGGAGGAAGUUCCUCCUGAAGAAGAAGUUGAACCUGAAGAAGAGCAAGUCCUUCCAGAAAUCAAACCUAAGAAGCCAGUACCUGCACGAGUGCCUGAAGUGCCUAAGAAACCUGUACCACAGAAGAAAGUCCCUGUGCCGGCUCCUAAAAAAGUGGAACCUCCACCACCCAAAGUGCCUGAGGUUAAGAAGAAAGUGCCAGAGAAGAAAGUGAUCAUUCAUAAGAAAGAGGAGGCGCCUCCUGCCACAGGUACUGCUCUUCCCAAGCGAACUAGACACUGCCAUUUCUUUCUAUCACCUGUAAAAGUCAAAGUGUCCUCUUCCAGCAUUUGUUAGGCUAACUUGUAUGUCAGUUGUCUCCGUGUUCAUGCAACUUAAAUGAUAAAAUAAUAUCUUUAAAGUGCCUGUGGUGCUUAAGAAACCUGAACCAGAAAAGAAAGUGCCUCCUCCUGGUCUUAAGAAAGCAGUGCCUCCUCCUGCCAAAGGUACAUCACCCCCAAACGGGGAUGUGUUUGCUGUACCCCAUGUUGAACUGUGAUGCUGUCCACACAGGACGUUCAACAUAAACGUUUGUCUUGUGUGAUCGGUCUGUCACUUCCAUUCACCGUUUGUGAC